UGCGUAGGGGGCAAGCGUUGUCCGGAUUUAUUGGGCGUAAAGAGCGUGUAGGCGGUUAGGUAGGUCCGUUGUGAAAACUCGAGGCUCAACCUCGAGACGCCGAUGGAAACCAUCUGACUAGAGUCCGGAAGAGGAGAGUGGAAUUCCUGGUGUAGCGGUGAAAUGCGCAGAUAUCAGGAAGAACACCCGUGGCUAAGGCGGCUCUCUAGUACGUGACUGACGCUGAGACGCGAAAGCGUGGGGAGCGAACAGG
rnacentral:rRNA from 1 species